rnacentral:misc_RNA from 1 species
AAACCAAGAAAUACCGCUCAUAUUGAAAGAUCAAGCCAAUUAAUUUUUACAGUUAACCACACUCUAUGAAAAUUCUGGUGACCAUCUCCAAUCUGGAAAAACCCUAUUAACUCCUCAAAACCCUAUCUCGAUAUCGAGAUUGAUUACAGGGGAUGGGCACUUCCAUGGAAACUGGAGGAGGUAGCAGUGAAAGCCCUGUAGAACCAAAGAAAGGCAGAUCGAAAACCCCCAGAAAGCCCAAGGAAAGUCUUCUGAAGCAGAAAUCUCCAGCCGAGUUCUUCGCGGAGAACAAGAACAUUGCUGGAUUUGAUAAUGUAAGUUUCAAUUUUGGAACAUUGAUAGGUGCUUUUUUUAUUGACGAAUGGAGCAAUAUUGCCUUUAAUUUAUGCAUAAGAAAAUUAGCGAGAGGAAAAGAAAAACAGUUAUUUCUCCUCUGUUAAGUAUUUUUGAUGAGUUGCCUUGUGGAUUUCAGCCGGGGAAAUGCCUAUACACUACAGUGAGAGAACUUGUUGAAAAUUCGCUUGAUUCAGCAGAGUCCAUAUCUGAGCUUCCCUUUGUAGAACUUACAAUGUAAAUUUCAUGUUUUGUAUUAGCAAUUGCAAUUUUGUAAAUGCUAGCGUUUAUUGGAUAGCAUCAUAUCGUGUGCAAGUGCAACCAUAGCCUCUCUUCUCCUUUCUGGCAAAAGCAAUAUGUAUUACAUGAAUGCAGGCAUCAUUGGUGUUAACUUCAAUCUAUUGCUGCAGUGAAGAGAUAGGGAAAAGCAAGUUCAAUUCGAUGAUUGGUCUUGUUGAUCGGGAGCGCAUUGAUGAGGAACUUUAUGAUGAUUAUGAGACAGCUAAGGCUCGUGAGAAAAGAUUAGCAAAGGAAGCUCGUGCUCAGGAAAUGCAAGCAAAGAAUGCUGCUCUUGGGAAGAAAUUUAAAGAACAGCCAGCUGCAAAGGGCAUGAAGGGUCGAGGUGAGGCUUCAUUUUACAGAGUCACAUGCAAGGAUAAUGGAAAAGGAAUGCCACAUGAUGACAUCCCGAAUAUGUUUGGACGGGUCCUGUCUGGGACAAAAUAUGGUCUCAAGCAGACACGUGGGAAGUUUGGUCUUGGUGCAAAAAUGGCAUUGAUAUGGUCCAAAAUGAGUACUGGACUUCCUAUUGAGAUCUCAUCAUCAAUGAAGAGCCAAAACUACAUUUCAUUCUGCAGGCUGGAUAUAGAUAUUCAUCGGAACAUUCCUCAUGUUCAUUUGCAUGAAAAAAGGAUAAAUGAUGAUAGGUGGCAUGGAGCUGAAAUUCAAGUGGUCAUCGAGGGAAAUUGGACAACUUACCGUUCCAAAAUAUUGCACUAUAUGCGACAAAUGGCUGUUAUCACUCCUUAUGCACAAUUUCUUUUCAAAUUUAUAUCAGAUACAUCUGACAAAAAUGUAACUAUAAAAUUUGCACGGAGAACAGAUGUAAUGCCCCCUGUUCCUCUUGAGACAAAGCAUCACCCAUCAUCUGUUGAUUUGCUGUUGAUCAAACGCUUAAUUGCGGAAACUUCAAAACAGAACCUUCUGCAGUUUCUUCAGCAUGAAUUCGUAAACAUAGGAAAGGCACAUGCUGAACGGUUAAUUGGGGAAAUGGGUCCGGAAUUUAGCCCAAAAAUGCCCAUUAAGUCUCUGACCGAUCAACAGAUAGUUCGGAUCCAUCAGUUGUUUCGUCAAGCCAAGUUUGAUGACCCUACUGGUGAUGUAUGCUGUCCUGAUCUCUGACCAUGUAGUUCACUUGACUGCAGUAUACCUUUACAUUGAUAUUUAUGUAUUUUUGUUCCUAAAGUUUGCAUUUAUUGUCCUAUAUUUUAGUGCCUUAGUCCUGCAGGGGAAUACAAUCUUCGUCUUGGAAUUAUAAAGGAGCUGCAUCCAGACAUGGUUGCCACCUAUUCAGGCAGGUUGUCUUUGAAAUCCUUGUUUGCUAAAUCUAUUUCUUUUUCUGUCCUAGAAAACUAAUUUGCAUAUAAUUGAGUAGAAGUACCUUGCUAUGGAUAAACGGUAUACUACAAACAUUCUACCUUUUCUGCUUCCAAAUGCAGUGCUCAAGUCUUUGAGGGACACCCAUUUGUCGUGGAGGCUGGUGUCAGCGUGGGUGGAAAGGAUGUUAAGCAGGUAAGUUCCUUAAUAUGGAGGUACUUGAAUAUGGGAAUCAUAUAUAACUUGGAAAUUGCUUUUCUAUUUAUGAGAGCACAGUAUUUCGGAUGCUGUUUUCUUGACAUUUUCUUGAGAUGAAUAUGAUUGUUAAUUUCAUAUACUAUCAGUAAUAGGCCAAGAUAAACCUCAUCAGGUGUGCAGGCAAAAGAUGCAUCCAUACAUGUUCAUGUCUGUGUAUGCUUGGUCAUAGGUUUAUGAAUACGACUAAAGCAAAAUCAAGGAUUCUGUACCUACAGCUCCUAUUCUCUUUUGCAUCCUUGCUGUUUGAUGUUUAACUGGUUGAUGCAGAAAGCUAUCCAAAAUGUGAAUCUUCAUUCUAUUUGAUCAUUCUUCCUGUGACUUUGCCUGUCUAAAAUGCAGGGGCUGAAUAUUUUUAGGUUUGCAAACCGCAUACCGCUUCUUUUUGAGCAAGGUGCUGAUGUUGUCACCAGAACUGCUCUUAAGAGAAUCAAUUGGGCUAGUUACAAGAUUAACCAGAUGCAAGACAAGAUAGGCGUCUUUGUAAGCAUUGUGAGCACAAAAAUCCCCUUUAAAGGGACUGGAAAGGAGUACAUUGGAGACGAUAUCACCGAGAUUGCUACUGCUGUCAAGUAUGCCAUUCAGCAAUGCUGCAUCCAGCUAAAAUCCAAAAUUAUGAAGAAAAUGCAGGCCCGUGAGCAACAGGAGCGUAAACGAAAUUUAAGCAAGUAUAUCCCUGAUGCUACAGGUGCUGUUUAUGAUGUCUUAAGAGAAAUGGCACAGUUACAUGCAUCAAAGAGGAAACACUAUGAAGAAGAGGAUGCUGACAUACUGAAGAAAGUAUCAGCACGUUUGAUUACAAAAGAUACACUCACGGAAAAGCUUGCUCAGCAUGUUGAAAAGGUGGACUAUGAAAUGGCAUUGGAGUAUGCUACGCAAAGUGGAGUGAGUGAGGAACCUAGAGAAGAUAUAUAUAUACAAACGCUUGAAUCUGAAAACAAAUUCAUCGACUUCCACAGUCCCAUCUUUGUUUUCAGAUUAAUCUCUCAGGAAUUGAUGGAUAUUCUUUGAUUACCUUUUAUACUUGUCGUAAUCAAUAUAGAUAGAAGGUGGUUGUGACACGGGUCAUUUCAUUAUUUAACUUGUUUCU